UGAAGAAGAUGAAAGUGAACUUAUGUAAUAUGAACAAAUUUCUUAUAAGUUCAAGAAAUAACUUAGAUAAUUAAAAAAAUACUAUUGAGUUGAAUCUUGAGUAUUGAUCAAUCGUUAUUUUCAAUUAUCGACAACUUAAGGAUAUAUCUUUGGUGAAGAUGAAAAUGUUAAACUUCUUUUUUUAUUGGUGAUUCCAUUCCCUAUUUCUUUGCCUCCGCUUUCAGUUAUUGACCCACUCUCCUCCUCUUGAUUAGGUAGAGCUCCAAUGUCAUCACCAGAUGUGCAUAAGAUUGAAAGAUAUAAUGAAGGUGACAUGAAAGAUAUAAUAAGCGACUUGCGUGACGCCAUUCUUCAUUAUAUUUUGUUGUUUUAAAGGUCUAGAACACUCAAGUUAUCUUGUGAAUAAAGAUCUUUCAAUUGAAGAUCAUGAAGACGACAUUGCAAAUUUCGAAAACUAUUCAAUUAUAUUGUUAAAGAUCCAGGUCUUCUGAUUCUGAAUUCCCCGAUGAUGAUACUGACGAAAAUGAAGCUGCAAACUCUAGGGUGGUUCUUGUGCCUGGCAAGAAUUGACAUUCUCCGAUUGUCAAAUAAUUUUCUCAGUCUUCAUCCUAUCCUUACUGUUAGUUAUGUAUAUGAAGGAUUUGAGUUUUAUAGUGAACCUAUUAUGCUAUUUCCCUUUCUUAAUCUUUGAGAUUUUGUGGAUUCUAAAAUAUGAGAAAUUCAACUUUCUAAUCUCAGACACUUCGAAAAAAUUGCAGCAUCAUGGAUAAAGAUCUCCAGAUGAGUUGUGAAAAGCCAGAAGCUAUGCUUUUUGUCGCAGUGGUAUAAGCGUAGAUUUUUGUGUUCAGUGAUUUUCUGCCAAUUAUUGAAUCUUCUAUUUCCUCUAGUACUAGUUCUUUAAGAACACCUGUCAUAUCUUUAUUUCCAUCAAGUUUUAGUGUUAAUAUACAAGUACAAGUAUGGCAAAAUACCAUGAUGUUGCCAGAUUUUCAUGAAGAAAGAUCGGUGCUGAAUAUUACCAAUAUUAGGAAAUCAAAACCAGAACAAGUUUCCUAAAAAACAUUUUAAUUCCAUCUACAUUAUUAAAUUUCAGGGUUCUACAAUAUCCCAAUGAAUUCUUGACACCAAACUGUCCACU